rnacentral:rRNA from 1 species
AACGAACGCUGGCGGCAGGCCUAACACAUGCAAGUCGAGCGAAGCCUUCGGGGUUAGUGGCGGACGGGUGAGUAACACGUGGGAACGUGCCUUUAGGUUCGGAAUAGCUCCUGGAAACGGGUGGUAAUGCCGAAUGUGCCCUUCGGGGGAAAGAUUUAUCGCCUUUAGAGCGGCCCGCGUCUGAUUAGCUAGUUGGUGGUGUAACGGACCACCAAGGCGACGAUCAGUAGCUGGUCUGAGAGGAUGAUCAGCCACAUUGGGACUGAGACACGGCCCAAACUCCUACGGGAGGCAGCAGUGGGGAAUCUUGCGCAAUGGGCGAAAGCCUGACGCAGCCAUGCCGCGUGAAUGAUGAAGGUCUUAGGAUUGUAAAAUUCUUUCACCGGGGACGAUAAUGACGGUACCCGGAGAAGAAGCCCCGGCUAACUUCGUGCCAGCAGCCGCGGUAACAC